UACAGAGGGGGCAAGCGUUGUUCGGAAUUACUGGGCGUAAAGGGCGCGUAGGCGGCCUGCUAAGUCGAACGUGAAAUCCCUGGGCUCAACCCAGGAACUGCGUCCGAUACUGGUUGGCUUGAAUCCGGGAGAGGGACGUGGAAUUCCAGGUGUAGCGGUGAAAUGCGUAGAUAUCUGGAGGAACACCGGUGGCGAAGGCGACGUCCUGGACCGGCAUUGACGCUGAUGAGCGAAAGCCAGGGGAGCAAACGGG
rnacentral:rRNA from 1 species